AAAUUGAAGAGUUUGAUCAUGGCUCAGAUUGAACGCUGGCGGCAGGCCUAACACAUGCAAGUCGAACGGUAACAGGAAGCAGCUUGCUGCUUCGCUGACGAGUGGCGGACGGGUGAGUAAUGUCUGGGAAACUGCCUGAUGGAGGGGGAUAACUACUGGAAACGGUGGCUAAUACCGCAUAACGUCGCAAGACCAAAGAGGGGGAUCUUCGGGCCUCUUGCCAUCAGAUGUGCCCAGAU
rnacentral:rRNA from 2 species